rnacentral:rRNA from 1 species
GUCCACGCUGUAAACGAUGAACACUAGGUGUCGUGGGUAUUGACCCCCGCGGUGCCGUAGCUAACGCAUUAAGUGUUCCGCCUGGGAAGUACGGUCGCAAGACUAAAACUCAAAGGAAUUGACGGGGCCCGCACAAGCAGUGGAGUAUGUGGUUUAAUUCGAAGCAACGCGAAGAACCUUACCAGGGCUUGACAUCCAUAGAAUCCCCAAGAGAUUGGGGAGUGCCUUCGGGAACUAUGAGACAGGUGGUGCAUGGUUGUCGU